rnacentral:rRNA from 1 species
AGGAGCCCAGAGCCUGAAUCAGUGUGUGUGUUAGUGGAAGCGUCUGGAAAGGCGCGCGAUACAGGGUGACAGCCCCGUACACAAAAAUGCACAUGCUGUGAGCUCGAUGAGUAGGGCGGGACACGUGGUAUCCUGUCUGAAUAUGGGGGGACCAUCCUCCAAGGCUAAAUACUCCUGACUGACCGAUAGUGAACCAGUACCGUGAGGGAAAGGCGAAAAGAACCCCGGCGAGGGGAGUGAAAAAGAACCUGAAACCGUGUACGUACAAGCAGUGGGAGCACAGAGCAAUCUGUGUGACUGCGUACCUUUUGUAUAAUGGGUCAGCGACUUAUAUUCUGUAGCAAGGUUAACCGAAUAGGGGAGCCGAAGGGAAACCGAGUCUUAACUGGGCGUUAAGUUGCAGGGUAUAGACCCGAAACCCGGUGAUCUAGCCAUGGGCAGGUUGAAGGUUGGGUAACACUAACUGGAGGACCGAACCGACUAAUGUUGAAAAAUUAGCGGAUGACUUGUGGCUGGGGGUGAAAGGCCAAUCAAACCGGGAGAUAGCUGGUUCUCCCCGAAAGCUAUUUAGGUAGCGCCUCGUGAAUUCAUCUCCGGGGGUAGAGCACUGUUUCGGCAAGGGGGUCAUCCCGACUUACCAACCCGAUGCAAACUGCGAAUACCGGAGAAUGUUAUCACGGGAGACACACGGCGGGUGCUAACGUCCGUCGUGAAGAGGGAAACAACCCAGACCGCCAGCUAAGGUCCCAAAGUCAUGGUUAAGUGGGAAACGAUGUGGGAAGGCCCAGACAGCCAGGAUGUUGGCUUAGAAGCAGCCAUCAUUUAAAGAAAGCGUAAUAGCUCACUGGUCGAGUCGGCCUGCGCGGAAGAUGUAACGGGGCUAAACCAUGCACCGAAGCUGCGGCAGCGACACUGUGUGUUGUUGGGUAGGGGAGCGU